rnacentral:rRNA from 1 species
AACGCGAAGAACCUUACCAGCCCUUGACAUGUCCAGGACCGGUCGCAGAGAUGCGGGAGUGCCUUCGGGAAUCGGAACACAGGUGCUGCAUGGCUGUCGUCAGCUCGUGUCGUGAGUUGUUGGGUUAAGUCCCGCAACGAGCGCAACCCUUGUCCUUAGUUGCCAGCACGUAAUGGUGGGAACUCUAAGGAGACUGCCGGUGACAAACCGGAGGAAGGUGGGGAUGACGUCAAGUCCUCAUGGCCCUUACGGCCAGGGCUACACACGUACUACAAUGGUCGGUACAGAGGGUUGCAAUACCGCGAGGUGGAGCCAAUCCCAGAAAGCCGAUCCCAGUCCGGAUUGGAGUCUGCAACUCGACUCCAUGAAGUCGGAAUCGCUAGUAAUCGCAGAUCAGCUAUGCUGCGGUGAAUACGUUCCCGGGUCUUGUACACACCG